rnacentral:rRNA from 1 species
UACAGAGGGGGCAAGCGUUGUUCGGAAUUACUGGGCGUAAAGGGCGCGUAGGCGGCCUGCUAAGUCGAACGUGAAAUCCCCGAGCUCAACUCGGGAACUGCGUCCGAUACUGACAGGCUUGAAUCCGGGAGAGGGAUGCGGAAUUCCAGGUGUAGUGGUGAAAUGCGUAGAUAUCUGGAGGAACACCGGUGGCGAAGGCGGCAUCCUGGACCGGCAUUGACGCUGAGGCGCGAAAGCUAGGGGAGCAAACGGG